rnacentral:rRNA from 1 species
GACGAACGCUAGCGGCGGGCCUAACACAUGCAAGUCGAGGGGAAAGGCCCUGCGGUGGUGGGAAGCGCGAGUGGCGAACGUAUGGGUUAUACAACAUAAAUCUCACCGGGACAUUGGGAGAAGUUCAUGAGACUAGUGCUAAUACAGGAUAUGGGCUCCCAUCGCAUGGUGGUUAAUGGUACGGUUGGGCGGUUGGGGAUUGACUCGCGGGUUAUAGUCUUGGUGGUGAGGUAGUGGCUUACCAAGGCUUGGACGGGUAGCCGGCCUGAGAGGGGGACAGGCCCCAUUAGCACUGACAUACGGCACAGACUCCUACGGGAGGCAGCAGUGUGGAAUAUUGCACGAUGCGCGGAAGCCUGAUGCAGCAACGCCGCGUGCGGGAUGACGGCCUUCUGGUUGUUAACCGCUUUAGCCUGUGCCGAAGCGUGAGUGACGGUACUGUGUAAAUAAGCACCGGCUAACUCCGUG